rnacentral:rRNA from 1 species
CAGUCGCCGCGGGAAUACGUAGGGUGCAAGCGUUAUCCGGAAUUAUUGGGCGUAAAGAGCUCGUAGGCGGUCUGUCGCGUCUGCUGUGAAAACUGGGGGCUCAACCCCCAGCCUGCAGUGGGUACGGGCAGACUAGAGUGCGGUAGGGGAGAUUGGAACUCCUGGUGUAGCGGUGGAAUGCGCAGAUAUCAGGAAGAACACCGAUGGCGAAGGCAGAUCUCUGGGCCGUAACUGACGCUGAGGAGCGAAAGCAUGGGGAGCGAACAGGAUUAGAUACCCGCGUAGUCCCUGUCUCUUAUAC